rnacentral:tRNA from 1 species
UCCUGAGAGAUUCUUAGUAAAGAAUCUGCCUGCAAUGCAGGAGACCCAGGUUUGAUUCCUGGAUUGGGAA